UACGGAGGGUGCAAGCGUUGUUCGGAAUCACUGGGCGUAAAGCGCGUGUAGGCGGUUUGAUAAGUCGAAUGUGAAAGCCCGAGGCUCAACCUCGGAAGUGCAUUCGAAACUGUCAGGCUUGAGUACGGGAGAGGGAAGUGGAAUUCCUGGUGUAGAGGUGAAAUUCGUAGAUAUCAGGAGGAACACCGGUGGCGAAGGCGGCUUCCUGGACCGAUACUGACGCUGAGACGCGAAAGCGUGGGGAGUAAACAGG
rnacentral:rRNA from 1 species